rnacentral:tRNA from 1 species
GGCCCCGUCGUCUAGCGGCCCAGGACGCUGGCCUCUCAAGCCAGUAACGCCGGUUCGAAUCCGGUCGGGGCUACCG